GACGAACGCUGGCGGCGUGCCUAAUACAUGCAAGUCGAACGCUGAAGGAGGAGCUUGCUUCUCCGGAUGAGUUGCGAACGGGUGAGUAACGCGUAGGUCACCUGCCUGGUAGCGGGGGACAACUAUUGGAAACGAUAGCUAAUACCUCAUCACAGUAGGUAUUGCAUGAUAUCUGCUUGAAUGGUGCACUUGCAUCACUACCAGCUGGACCUGCGUUGUAUUGGCUAGUUGGUGGGGUAACGGCACCCCAAGGCGACGAUACAGAGCCGACCGGAGAGGGUGAUCGGCCACACUGGGACUGAGGCACGGCCCAGACGCCCUCGGGAGGGAGCCAGAGGGAAGCUUCGGCCAUGGGCGGAAGGCUGACCGAGCAACGCCGCGGGAGGGGAGAAGGGUGUCGGGUCGGAAAGCUCGGUUGUAAGGGAAGAAAGAGUGUGAGGGUGGAAAGUUCACACUGUGACGGUACCUUAACAGAAAGGAACGGCUAACUACGUG
rnacentral:rRNA from 1 species